AUACUAUGAUGGUUGCAUAGUUCAACAGAUUGAAACAUGAAAGAUAUCCAUUUGUCUGAUGUGUCU